AUUUGUUAAAUGAUAGGAAGAACAAUUCCAUCGAACGCUCCUCCCAGGAGUGUUUACAGCUACGUAAUGCAUUUAAUCGCUAUCUUCAAAGCAUUAAACGAAAUGAAAAUCCAACAAAACUUCGUUUGGAGGAAUUCAUGAACCGAGCAGAGACGCUGAGAGACAGAGAGACAAAACUGGAAUAGGAAACGUAAAAUUAGCCGCGAAAGUGUUACUCAAUCACUUUUUGAUGUAGCACUUACAUUUCUUUCGAACAGGGCUGUCGAAUGACAAAAAUUUUGGCUGUGUUUCGUGAAUGGUCGUCACAGUUGGGUACUAAAUAUGCGGAGGCAGGUGUACGACUACGCAAAAUGAAAGAUCAACUCACUAUGAAUCUCUCCUCCGACAAUUACACAACGCUGGUAAAAUCAUCUAUCUUCAAUCAAAAAUUCUCUCUUAAAUCAGUGAUGCUGGAAAAUCGAGUGUGCAUGCAAUCGGUUCCGACAGUGAAGACCACGAAAUUUAUUUGA